AGUGAAACAUCGGUUCCCGUACCGAAGUUAAGCAACGUCGAGCCUGGUUAGUACCUAGAUGGGUGACCGUUUGGGAACACCAGGUGCUGUAAU